rnacentral:rRNA from 1 species
GAUGAACGCUGGCGGCGUGCCUAAUACAUGCAAGUCGAGCGAACAGACGAGGAGCUUGCUCCUCUGACGUUAGCGGCGGACGGGUGAGUAACACGUGGAUAACCUACCUAUAAGACUGGGAUAACUUCGGGAAACCGGAGCUAAUACCGGAUAAUAUAUUGAACCGCAUGGUUCCAUAGUGAAAGACGGUUUUGCUGUCACUUAUAGAUGGAUCCGCGCCGCAUUAGCUAGUUUGUAAGGUAACGGCUUACUAAGGCAACGAUGCGGAGCCGACCUGAGAGGGUGAUCGGCCACACGGGAACUGAGACACGGUCCAGACUCCUACGGGAGGCAGCAGUAGGGAAUCUUCCGCAAUGGGCAAAAGCCUGACGGAGCAACGCCGCGUGAGUGAUGAAGGUCUUCGGAUCGUAAAACUCUGUUAUUAGGGAAGAACAAAUGUGUAAGUAACUAUGCACGUCUUGACGGUACCUAAUCAGAAAGCCACGGCUAACUACGUG